GGAGUACUCACUCCGUCCCAGAUUAAUUGUCUUCGAUUUUUCUAGAUACCGAUGUAUCUAGACAUGUUUUAGUGUUAGAUUAGAUACAUUUGUAUGUCGAAAAAUCUAAGACAAGUAAUUUGAGACGGAGGUAAUACUUG
rfam:Triticum urartu cultivar G1812 contig179151, whole genome shotgun sequence.